rnacentral:rRNA from 1 species
UGAGGAAUCUUGCGCAAUGGGGGAAACCCUGACGCAGCCACGCCGCGUGCUGGAAGACGGCCCUAUGGGUUGUAAACAGCUUUUGAUGGGGAAGAACCUGGGAGAUUCGUCUCCCACUGACGGUACCCAUCGAAUAAGCACCGGCUAACUCCGUGCCAGCAGCCGCGGUAAUACGGAGGGUGCAAGCGUUGUCCGGAAUCAUUGGGUGUAAAGGGUGCGCAGGCGGAAGCCUAAGUCGGAGGUGAAAUCUUGCCGCUUAACGGUAAAAGGGCCUUCGAUACUGGGUUUCUUGAGUUCGGAAGAGGUCGGUGGAAUUCGUGGUGUAGCGGUGAAAUGCAUAGAUAUCACGAAGAACACCAGUGGCGAAAGCGGCCGACUGGUCCGAUACUGACGCUGAGGCACGAGAGCGUGGGGAGCGAACA